rnacentral:rRNA from 1 species
UACGUAGGGUGCGAGCGUUGUCCGGAAUUACUGGGCGUAAAGAGCUCGUAGGUGGUUUGUCGCGUUGUCCGUGAAAACUCACAGCUCAACUGUGGGCGUGCGGGCGAUACGGGCAGACUGGAGUACUGCAGGGGAGACUGGAAUUCCUGGUGUAGCGGUGGAAUGCGUAGAUAUCAGGAGGAACACCUGUGGCGAAAGCGGCUCACUGGACCAUAACUGACGCUGAUGUACGAAAGCUAGGGGAGCAAACAGG